GAUGAACGCUGGCGGCGUGCCUAAUACAUGCAAGUCGAGCGAACAGAUGAGGAGCUUGCUCCUCUGACGUUAGCGGCGGACGGGUGAGUAACACGUGGAUAACCUACCUAUAAGACUGGGAUAACUUCGGGAAACCGGAGCUAAUACCGGAUAAUAUAUUGAACCGCAUGGUUCAAUAGUGAAAGACGGUUUUGCUGUCACUUAUAGAUGGAUCCGCGCCGCAUUAGCUAGUUGGUAAGGUAACGGCUUACCAAGGCAACGAUGCGUAGCCGACCUGAGAGGGUGAUCGGCCACACUGGAACUGAGACACGGUCCAGACUCCUACGGGAGGCAGCAGUAGGGAAUCUUCCGCAAUGGGCGAAAGCCUGACGGAGCAACGCCGCGUGAGUGAGGAAGGUCUUCGGAUCGUAAAACUCUGUUAUUAGGGAAGAACAAAUGUGUAAGUAACUAUGCACGUCUUGACGGUACCUAAUCAGAAAGCCACGGCUAACUACGUG
rnacentral:rRNA from 1 species